CCUAUUCUAGAUCUGUCAGCACCACUGGCACAGCACAGUUGCUUAGCUGUGCCUGUGACAUCAGGGAAAUGAGCACAUAGCUAUUUCUAGCCCAGUGUUCAGAAGCCAGUGAGCUCUAAGAAUGGAUUAUAGCCUGACAAGU